rnacentral:rRNA from 1 species
AUACGGAGGGUGCAAGCGUUAUCCGGAUUUAUUGGGUUUAAAGGGUGCGCAGGCGGACCUGUCAGUCAGUGGUGAAAUCCCGGGGCUCAACCCCGGAACUGCCAUUGAUACUACAGGUCUUGAAUACGGUCGAAGUAGGCGGAAUGUAGCAUGUAGCGGUGAAAUGCAUAGAUAUGCUACAGAACACCGAUCGCGAAGGCAGCUUACUAAGCCGAUAUUGACGCUCAGGCACGAAAGCGUGGGUAGCGAACAGGAUUAGAAACCCGAGUAGUCC